UACAGAGGUCCCGAGCGUUGUUCGGAUUCACUGGGCGUAAAGGGUGCGUAGGUGGUGAGGUAAGUCGGAUGUGAAAUCUCCGGGCUCAACCCGGAAAUGGCAUUGGAAACUACCUUGCUGGAGGAUUUGAGGGGGGAUUGGAAUACUUGGUGUAGCAGUGAAAUGCGUAGAUAUCAAGUGGAACACCAGUGGCGAAGGCGAAUCCCUGGAAAAUACCUGACACUGAGGCACGAAAGCUAGGGGAGCAAACAGGAUUAAGAAA
rnacentral:rRNA from 1 species